rnacentral:rRNA from 1 species
CCUACGGGUGGCAGCAGUGGGGAAUAUUGCACAAUGGGGGAAACCCUGAUGCAGCGACGCCGCGUGAGUGAAGAAGUAUCUCGGUACGUAAAGCUCUAUCAGCAGGGAAGAUAAUGACGGUACCUGACCAAGAAGCCCCGGCUAACUACGUGCCAGCAGCCGCGGUAAUACGUAGGGGGCAAGCGUUAUCCGGAUUUACUGGGUGUAAAGGGAGCGUAGACGGCAGCACAAGUCUGGAGUGAAAUCCCGGGGCUCAACCCCGGGACUGCUUUGGAAACUGCCUGACUGGAGUGCUGGAGAGGCAAGCGGAAUUCCUAGUGUAGCGGUGAAAUGCGUAGAUAUUAGGAAGAACACCAGUGGCGAAGGCGGCUUGCUGGACAGUAACUGACGUUGAGGCUCGAAAGCGUGGGGAGCAAACAGGAUUAGAUACCCGGGUAGUC